UACGAAGGGGGCUAGCGUUGUUCGGAAUCACUGGGCGUAAAGGGCGCGUAGGCGGCUUUGUAAGUCGGGGGUGAAAGCCUGUGGCUCAACCACAGAAUUGCCUUCGAUACUGCAUGGCUUGAGACCGGAAGAGGUAAGUGGAACUGCGAAGUGUAGAGGUGAAAUUCGAUAGAUAUUCGCAAGAACACCAGUGGCGAAGGCGGCUUACUGGUC
rnacentral:rRNA from 1 species